rnacentral:lncRNA from 1 species
UAUAUAUAAAUAACAUAUAUACACAAUUACAGUGUUAAUACUAAGUAAUAGUUUCAUUGUCCUAAAAAUCCCCUGUGAUCAUCCUUCCCAGAAUCCCUGUCAACAUCGAUAUUUUUAUUGUCUCCAUAGUUUUGCCUUUUCUAGAAUGUCAUAUAGUGGAAAUAACACAGCAUGUAUCCUUUUUCAGAUUGGCUUCUUUCACUUAGUAAUAUGUAUUUAAAGUUCUUCCACAUCUUUUGGAGGCUUAAUGACUCAUUCUUUUUAACAGCCAUGUAUUUUUCCUGCUAGAAAUAAAUUUUAAUUCUUCCAAAAUGGCUGUACCAUUUUGCCUUCCCACAAACAAUGAAUGAAAGUUCUUGUUGCUCUUCAUCCUCACCAGCUUUUGAUUUUGUUAGUGGUCUGAAUUUUGGGUAUUCUAUUAGGUGUGCAGUGGCAUCUCAUUGCUGUUUCAAUUUGAAUUCCCUAUGAAGUUAAGCAUUUUUGCAUAUGCUUAUUUGCUCUCUGUGUAUCUUCUUUGGUAAGAUGUUUCUUCAGAACUUUUAUUAAUUUUUAAAUUGGGUUACUUGUUUCAUUACUGGUGAACUUAAGCAUUCCUUUGUAUAUCAAUUCUUUAGCUGAACAUUAUAUGUUUUGCAAAGAUUUUAUCCCAUGUUCCUCCACUUUAUUCCUUAAAACACAAUCUGCUAUGCUCAAAUUAAAAAAGAAGGCUUGCUUUCUCUGCAUAUCAUGCUCUCUCUUAUUUCCAUGACUUUGCACAGGUGACUCUCCUGAAAUCUGCAUUCAAGGCAGAAAAAACUUUACUUUUACUUGAAGUAUAUAAAGUAUUAGAGGAGUUCCCGUUGUGGUUCAGUAGUUAAUGAAUCCGACUAGGAACCAUGAGGUUUUGGAUUUGAUCCCUGGCUUUAUUCAGUGGGUUAAGGAUCCGGCGUUGCUGUGAGCUGUGGUGUAGGUCGAAGACGUGGCUUGGAUCCUGAGUUGCUGUGGCUCUGGUGUAGGCCAGUGGCUAUGGCUCCGAUUCAACCCCUAGCCUGGGAACCUCCACAUGCUGCAGGAGCAGCCCAAGAAAUGGCAAAAAAGACUCCCCCCCCCAAAAAAAGUAUUAGAGGAGUAUAUCAUAUCCUGUGUGAAACCUUCCUGUAUUUCAGAUUUAGUGCUUCUAUUCUCUGUCCUCACAAAUUACUUUGUAUAUCCUUCAAUUAAAACACUUAGCACAUUGUAUUCUCUCUCUGGUUUAUGAUCCUGCCGACCAAAUGGAUCAUGAGUAUCUCAAGGACAGGGAUCAUAUAUUUUACAUCUUUAUACAAUUCUCCAGUCCUCCAUGUAAGAAAAAAGAUGCAUGACAGACACAAAUUGCAUGAAGGAAUAACCAGAAUAAACCUAGAGGGGUUAGGUAUAGGAGGAGACAUCAUGAGUUAUUUCACAGAGCAUUUCAUGAUAGAAAUUACAUGCUUCAAGAUGGAGGAAUGGAGAAUAGCCAUUGACUAGAAAUGAAUGAAAACAUUUUGAAACACGGUAGAAACACAUCCAUUAAUGGCAAAUUUUUUUGUUUUAGAAGGCUCUCUCUUUUUUCAUAAUUGUAAUACACAGCAUAUUAUAAAAAAUACCCCAAAUAUAGAAAAAUAUAGAGAAAAUAAAAUUACCUAUAAUCCCACCAUUUAGACACAUGGAUGAUUAACAAUGGAUUGUUGUCCAUUCAUCCAGACUUUUUUGUUAUACAUUUACCGUGUUCUUUUUCUAACAAAGUCUAUUCUAAAAAAUGUUAUGUUAAAAUAUUAAAUAUUUGCCUUAAGAAGAGAGAGAAAAGGAGCCAUAUACUCAAAAAUUUAAUACUUGAAUUCUACUGCUCUGGUCAAUUUUCGCUUUUCCAGAAAAUCCACACUCAGAAACUUUAUUGCAUAGUAUCACAAACUUUUGAUUCUGCUAUCUAACAAUUAGCUUUUUCAUAUUAUAACCUCCUCAAUAGUAUUGAUAAAAUGAGCAGUUUUCAUAUCAGAAACAAAACAAGUGAGAUGGGUUUGUAAAUUGCCUAGAGAACAUCUCAUAUGAUUCUCUUUAUUUUAUAGGAAAAUAUACAAAGGCAGUACUUUUAUUUUUCCAAUAGGAAUUGGUAUUAGAGUAUGGUAAUAUUUUUUAAACAAGUGAGUGAUGUCUUCUGAAAAUGACAAUGUCUAAAUAUUCAGUGAAUUCCAGGAUUCUAUCAUGAUAGCCUCUAAAAUGACCCCCAAUGAUCCCCAGCUCCUAGUAGUAACACCCCUGUGUAAUAGUCACUCAGAGUUGUAGCUUCUCUUACUUCUGGUGUCUGCUCCCCUUGUGGCUGAAGUUGGUAUGGGCGCUUGCUGUAGGCUUCCUGAUGGGAGGGGCUGAUUCCUGCCCACUGGUAGGUGGAGCCAAUUCUAAUCCCUCUGGUGGGUGGGGCUUAGUCUCUGGAUGGGAUUAGAGGCAGCUGUGCCUAAGGAGUCUUUAAGUAGCCUGUUUACUGAGGGGUGGGGCUGUGAUCCCACCUGGAUUGUUGUUUGCUCUGGGGCUUCUCAGCACUGACUGAGGGUGGGGCCGGAUUUUCCCAUAAUGGCCACCUCCAGAGAAAGGCACGCUGCUGAAUAUUCCCGAGAGCUUUGCUUUCAAUGUCCUUCCCUCACAACAAGCCACACUCACCCCUGUUUUCCCAGGAUGUCCUCCAAGAACUGCAGUCAGGUUUGACCCAGAUUCCUAUGGAGAUUUUGCUUUGCCCUGGGACUCAGUGCAAGUGAAAGUCUGUGUGCGCCUUUUAAGAAUGAGAUCUCCGGGAGUUCCUGUCAUGGCUCAGUGGGAAGGUAUCCGACUAGGAACCAUGAAGUUGCGAGUUCAAUCCCUGGCUGCGCUCAGUGGGUUAAGGAUCCGGCAUUGCUGUGAGGUAGGUUGCAGACAUGGCUUGGAUCUGGUGUUGCUGUGGCUCUGGUGUUUGCCGGCAGCUGUAGCUGUAGCCCUAGCCUGGGAACCUCCAUAUGGCGCAGGUGCGGCCCUAAAAAGACAAAAAAAAAGAAUGGGGUCUCCGUUUCCCCCAGUCCUGUGGAGCUCCUGUGCAUAAGCCCCACUGGCCUUCAAUGCCAGAUCCCCACACGUAUAAGUUUGAUGUGAGGCUCAGAACUCUCACUCCUGUAGGUGAGUCUCUGUGAACCAGUUAGUUUCCAGUCUGUGAGCCUUCCCACCCAGGAGGUAUGGGGUUGUUUAUAACGUGAAAUCACCCCUCCUAUCUCUUGAUGUGGCCUCCUCUUUUUCAUUUGGAGUAGGAUAUCUUUUUUAAGGUUUCCAGUCCAUUUGGGUGAAAAACGCUCAGCCUUUAGUUGUGAAUUUUGUUGUUUUUAGGAGAGAAGUUGAGCUCAGGUCCUUCUGUUCCACUAUCUUAAUCCCAUCUCCAUAGUCACUCUUUUUUUUUUUUUUCAUAGUCACUCUUAUAGUGUGGGCUCUGUAUAUUGACUCACAUCGAAUAAGUAAAAUAUGGCAGACGUAAUGGGAUGUCACCUCAAAAUUUCCAAGUUCCAAGACACUGGCUUUCAUCUUAAGUGCAUUCUCUCUCUCUCUCUCUCAGUCAUUAUCUCUGAAGGAAACCAGCUGCGCUGCUGUGAGGCACCUUUGUGGGAAGUCCAGGUGUGAAGGAUCUAAGCCAACCAGUAACUAUGUGAGUGAACUUGGAAGUUGAUUAAUGUGAUCAUGCUUUCUAAACUGUUUACCAUGUUAUUUUCAUUUAACCUUACAUUAGUACUCAAGUGGGCUCUUGGUACCAUGGCAGGAAUUAAAUGCUUCAGCUGAAAGAAGUAAAAAGAGAUCUGGCUAGAAGUUUUAGGUUGUGUAUUUCACCUCCUGAAAGACUAUACCUAAGCAACUCACUAGAGGGCACUCUUUCUAGUAGCUAGCCCCAUUUAGGAAUUUUUAUAUUCUAAUAUUGGCUCUUGGAGGUCAUAACUUUCCACUAGAUCAUUUAGGCUUAAGGAAUAAUGGGAAAAAAGUUUACAAUUCCAAUACAAACCCCAAAGUUUUAAAUGUGUGGCAGAUUUCUCUUAUGUUAGAACUGUUCCAUUCUGAUGUGGGACUAUUUGCAGUUUUUAUUAAUCUACUUUGCUUGCAUAUUUAUACACUUUACAGCAAAAAAAUUAAUAGGCUUGAUUAAGAAAUUCCCCAUACCCUGAUGGGGAGUUACCAUAAUUACAGUAAAAGCAGUAUGUUCCUAACAUCUGUAAAAACAUUCUGAAAAACAUCUACUCAUAAAUUUUUGGACACUGGAUUAUGUACCUCUGUUGGCUUCCUUGGAAUAUCAUCUCAGACAAAUGCAAGACUAAGAGCUAGAAUCAUAAGAUAGACCCAACUUUCAAUAAUAGAAAAGGCUUAUUUACUCUCCCAUUCCAAUUUGUCACUCCUAUCCUCCAAAUGUGGACAUACAGAAUUGCUCAUAAUAUUAAUAGGACUUUUGGAACAUAUGGUGUUGAUAUUGGCUUCUGAACUGAAGCUGUGCUUAACAUCAGGGGGCAUUGUGGGGAGUGAGGUCAAGUUUCGGGCAUCAUCUAGAAGAAACUUUUGUCACUGGAACAAAACACUGCAUCCCUGAUGUCUGUCCAAGACCAUUUUUAUGUAAUAUUUUUCUUCUACAUCUAUCCAGAAGCAAGGAUAUGAUGCUUUCUAGUUGAUCAUCCUCAAAGUUAAUUCAUUAUAAGUUAAGGAAAAUUCCUUGCUUUCAUGUACUCCUGGGGCCCAAGCAUUAGAAAUGUAGACUCACUGCUAACUGGCUUAAUUAUUAAUUCAAAUCUUGAAGCAUUACAUGUGAAAUAAUAUCUAGGCAGUCUCUGAUUUAGUGAUUCAAAAUCAUGGAUGGGAAACAUUAUUAGCUUAUUACCUAGUAUUUUAAAAGGGCUAUGAUUUUUUUUAAAGUUAUUUUAGCUUUUAAACCUCAGUUUUUCCAUGUAUACAGUGGUGAAAAUAAUUAUUUAUAAUCUUUCUGGAGUCCCCGCUGUGGGGCAACAGUAUAGAUGGUAUCUUGGGAGUGUUGGGACACAGGUUCGAUCCCUGCCCCAGCACAGUGGG